rnacentral:tRNA from 2 species
GGAGUAGUACUCAAGAGGCUGAAGAGGCGCCCCUGCUAAGGGUGUAGGUCGGGCAACUGGCGCGAAGGUUCAAAUCCUUUCUACUCCGCCA